rnacentral:rRNA from 1 species
UACGGGGGGAGCAAGCGUUGUUCAGAUUUACUGGGCGUAAAGGGCGUGCAGGCGGUUUGUUAAGUGCAGGGUGAAAGCUCCCGGCUCAACUGGGAGAGGUCCUUGCAUACUGGCAGACUUGAGGGAGGCAGAGGAAAGUGGAAUUCCCGGUGUAGUGGUGAUAUGCGUAGAUAUCGGGAGGAACACCUGUGGCGAAGGCGGCUUUCUGGGCCUUACCUGACGCUGAGACGCGAAAGCGUGGGGAGCGAACCGG